rnacentral:rRNA from 1 species
UGGCGAACGGGUGAGUAACACGUGGGUGAUCUGCCCUGCACUUUGGGAUAAGCCUGGGAAACUGGGUCUAAUACCAGAUAGGACCAUGCUUUGGAUGGUGUGGUGGAAAGUUUUUUCGGUGUGGGAUGAGCUCGCGGCCUAUCAGCUUGUUGGUGGGGUAAUGGCCUACCAAGGCGUCGACGGGUAGCCGGCCUGAGAGGGUGUACGGCCACAUUGGGACUGAGAUACGGCCCAG